GACGAACGCUGGCGGCGUGCUUAACACAUGCAAGUCGAACGAAGUGGCGCACGGGUGAGUAACGCGUAUUCAACCUGCCCUUCAGAGGGGGACACCAGUUGUAAACGACUGCUCAUACCCCAUACUUACGGAUGUGAUUGCGUGUGAUUAGCUCGUUGGAGGGGUAACGGGCCACCAAGGCGAUGCUCAGUAGCCGGUCUGGGAUGAUGAACGGCCACAUCGGGACUGAGACAAGGCCCAGACUCCUACGGGUGGCAGCAGGGGGGAAUCUGCCGCAAUGGACGAAAGUCUGACGGAGCAACGCCGCGGGAGUGAUGACGGCCUUCGGGUUGUAAAGCUCUGUUAAUCGGGACGCGGUACCGGAAUAGAAAGCAACGGCUAACUACGUGCCAGCAGCCGCGGUAAUAC
rnacentral:rRNA from 1 species